rnacentral:lncRNA from 1 species
UUUCCUCUACUCGAGAAAAAGGAACACCAACGAUGGAUUUCAUUAAACAAAAUCGAAUUCCCCCACAAUGGUAAACGAUAAAAGAAAACCACUUGAUAGCCUAUUCGGAACGAUUCGACAAACCCCAACAGUACAAUAAUGACUACAAUUGAAAUAGAAGGAAAGGGGAAAAAAAUAAAAACGAAGAGAAAGAAGAACAAAAG